CUCUCUCUUUUUUUUUUUGGCCCGAAUUUUCCUUUACCUCAUGUCGGAUAUUGGAAUGACUCGAAUGAGAGUCAAGUUGACAUGAGAUACGUUUAGUUUGGGUUUCAUGGAACAGAUUUAUGGGGUCUGUAGUCUUUCCCACCUAUCAUUCGGUUUUUGUAAGCUGUGCUGGUGUGGGUGUGCCCUACCAGCCUCUGGGCCGACUCACCUACUGUAGGGCACCAAGGUGCAGGGCCAGGGAUCACAUCCCAGCAGAAAUGUGUCCUGUAGAGCCUGGCACUGAGACCGCAUGGGGACAGGAGAAGCAACAAAGCAUGGAUCAUAAGGAACCAGAAGCCGGUGUAUAGAAAAUUCUUCUACUCGCCAGACCAGGUAAAAUCAAAUAGACAACAGUGAAACAAACAAGGAACGCCUGCCUGUGUGUGUAGUCUCGGGUUUUAUGCAUCGCAUCACAUCUUAGCAUAUCUGACACAUCUUGUCUUGACAAAGUCUGCUGGUUCCGGAAGAGAGAGAGCACCAAAUUGCCACAAAUGCGGUGAAAUAAUCUGAAGAAAACACGCACACACACCACACAGCAAAAGAUGCAAAACAAAGGAAGCACUGGAGAGAGAAAGCAUAAUACAAAAUAAGAUGCCAGAAUGAGAACGAAGCCUAUCCAUCACGUUACAUCAAUAAAUGCAAAUAGGACAGGCCUUGUUUGGAAAGAAAAUCUAUGAUACGCCUUUGUUAUCAGACAUCUCUUCGUGCCACAUCACAGCCUCUGGUCCUUCCAUGCCUCCAGAGCCUCUGACCCGUCCUGUCCUAGCCUCUCCGGGGUGACCAGUUCUGCCCGCGUUCCAGCUGACUUCUGACACACAGAAACAGUCCUCCACACUUCACCUCACGGCCACACGCUUGCCCCCGAGACACUUGGUCCCGGGGGCGCUUAAAAGAAGACUCCCGGGAUAGGAUUGUGACAUUGAAUUGCCUCCUUACUGGUCUGAUGGCAAUAAGGACACUUGCUAGAGUAAAGCAGGUGGUGGUGACCCUUGGCAUGAACUGGGCAUCAAAAUUACUGAGGUUUUCACCUGUGGUUACAUGGGGGUGAGGGGCAGGUAGAAGGUGGAAUUCAGCUGGGAACUGGAAUGUCUGUAGCCUUUCAUUGGUUAUGGGGACAGUGAUGAUUAUGAGAAAUGCAGAGUAGGCCGGCUUUUAUGAACACGAGACACCUUGCAAAAAAGAAAAUGGUAGGCUCGGGGUAGCUGACAGCCAGCUUAAGGAUUUGUAAAAGCCGUGGGGAGCUUUAUGGCAGUUUUUGAGGAGCCUCAACUCCUGCAGCUCGGGGGCAACCUGAUAAAGCCAGGCUCCGCCGCUGAUCGUCAGGGUGCCAGCUGCUGCUGAGAUGACAGACCUUGCGCGCUUCAACUCACUUCGUGUGGGUACAACCCACCAGUGCCCCAAGCCCUCCUGUGUAGCACGGCUCCCCCUCUUGCCCUGAGGCGUCCACAUUGGUGCUGAGGUGCGAGACACUGGGGGCCCUCUGGGCGCCAAGCUUGGACGACCCUGAAGUGAAGGGCAGUUAACACUUGCGGAGAGAAUGUUUGACCCAUGGGAGACAGAAGCUGCCAGAUAAAAUUCUCCCUUCUUUCUCUCCCUGUAUAGACAAUGAUGAAAUACAGUUAAAAAGGAAGAUGGCCUCUUGGAAGAUGGUCCCAUGAGAUCAGACACACACUCGCUCUUCAUUCCAAGCCUUGACCUGCUGAGUGAUGCAGCCUCGGAUUUGCUCUUCCCGCCUCCCUGCCCCUCAGCGAUGUUCCCUGUUCCCUUCCUCUGGCUUUCCUGGGAUUGCAUUCCCUAAUAAAGUCGUAGCAAGGGAGA